rnacentral:lncRNA from 1 species
AUGUGCGACCGAAAGGCCGUGAUCAAAAAUGCGGACAUGUCGGAGGAGAUGCAACAGAACUCAGUGGAGUGCGCUCCUCAGGCGCUGGAGAAAUACAACAUAGAGAAGAACACUGCGGCUCAUAUCAAGAAGGAAUGUGACAAGAAGUACAAUGCCACCUGGCACUGCAUCCUGGGGAGGAACUUCAGUAGUUACGUGACACAUGAAACCAAACACUUCAUCUACUUCUACCUGGGCCAAGUGGCCAUUCUUCUGUUCAAAUCUGGUUA